AGCGUUGAACAGAAAGAUCUGCUCUGCAGGAACUGAUGGAACCCCAAAAGGGAUAGCAGAGGAGAAACCACAGGGUAGAUUAAACAAAAUCAAUCUAUUAAACUGAAAAUAACCCAUCUGUGCAAAUUGAACACGUAAAUACGUCGAAACUUGCAGAAACUUAGUAUAUUUAAACAAAAGCACCUGUCCUUAGCCUUUUCAUUGCCGUCCUCUUCGUCUGCUUCGUCAUCGUCGUCGUUAUCGUCAUCGUCUUCAUCGUCCUCACUCACUCUCUCUCUCUCUCUCUCUGUUUUUCUCUAAACCCAAGGAAGAAAAGAAGAUUGGGAGGUGGAAGAAAAAGAAAAAUGGGAGGCGGAGCAAACAGAGUCAUAUAGUUAAAAAGACGAAAUUACCCUAUUAAACAAAACCAGUGGCUUCUCAAUUGAAGGGCAAAAUUGUCCAAAUUGGGAAAAUUGGCUAGUGUUUCAAUUGCAAAAGUGAUUCUUCUUAAGGAGAGUUAGGAUAUAUAUUUUACUGAAAAAAAUCAUGAAUAUUAAUUGAUCGCAUAUUGUGUAACAACUCCAAUUUUUAGUAAAUAAAAAUUCGUUGUUUAUUCAAA